UACAGAGGUGCCAGCGUUGUUCGGAUUCACUGGCGUAAAGGGUGCGUAGGCGGUUGGGUAAGUCUGAUGUGAAAUCUCACACUUAACUGUGAACUGCAUUGGAUACUAUCCGGCUAGAGGAAUGGAGGGAGAUGGAAUACGUUGGUGUAGCAGUGAAUGCGUAGAUAAUCAAGAUGGAACACCAGUGGCGAAGGCGAGUCUCUG
rnacentral:rRNA from 1 species